rnacentral:lncRNA from 1 species
CCUGCCUGGCCCACCUUGUGGUCCUCACUUGGAGCAUGCAGUGCUGGAAUCUUCUUAGUUUCAGUCUUACUUUGCCGCCCAAGGUAUGUUUUCUCUGCAGCUUCCCUUGCCAAGGACAUCCUAGAGAUGGGUGAUGGAACUUCCAAUUGUCUUUAAACCCUUUGGGUACUGGAAAGCCUGGCCUGGGACUGGGUACUUCAGCAGAAAUAACACAGGGGAGAACAGAGUCAAGUCCGGAGGUCAGUUCAGUCAUCAGGCAGUGGAGCCACAAGGUGGCGCAGUUUUCCCAGGUGUCUCAUAGUGGCUGACUUGAGCCAGUGACCUCUAAAGAUAGAGCAGAGUCCAAGGAAUGACCUACAGAGAGUGAAGGGGACAGGCAAGAACUGAUAGCUUUGGACCAAGACCACGUUCCCUGUUCUGGAUCCAUGAUGCUCCCUUCCCCCUGUAGAGGGCAGGUGAGGACCAUGUGGAUCUUUUUGGAAAUACAUGUGGAUGUUUGCAAAUGCAGAACCGACUGGUGGAAAGGGCGAACAUGAACAGAUGAUGGAAGUCUGGCCCUCAUGGACCAUAUGUGUUUGGUGGAUAUUAGACCAAUAUUUGGGAAGAAGCCUUGCAGAUACUUUCUCUCAUUAGACAUUCUACUCUCUGAUUCUGAAUUUGACUACUCUAUGUACCUGAUAUCAGUGGAUUCCAGAGUGAAUCAGAGAGUAGAAUAGGAGUUUCUACGAGCUGGGAUCAGGGCAAUAGGGCGUUGUUCCAUGGUUGUGCAGUUUCAGUUAUGCAGGAUGAGGAGGUUCUAGAGAUCUCCUGUACAGCCUCAUGUCUAUAGUUCAUACAGAUAAAGUGCUCCUUAUGCAGAAGGCUUAAAACAAAGUGUUUUGGAUUUCUAAUUUUUUUUUGUUUUGGAAUAUUUGCAGUACAUGUACUGGUUUAGCAUCCCAAAUCUGAAAAAUUUAAAAUGCACAAUGCGCCAGUGAGCACUUCUUUUUAGCAUCACAUCAGUGGUCAGAAGUGUUGAGUUUUGGAGCAUUUCAGAUUGUGGAUUUCUGGAUUUGGGAUGCUCAAUUUGUAAUACUGUAAUUUUCCCAUAAAAAGUUGUCAGGAGUUUAGACCUCAUGUUAUGUUCUGACUCUAGUAACAAAAAAUAUUUGGAGGAAACAUUAAAAUGUUUUCAUGAGUGGAAAUUUUUACUGAUGGUCCAAACAUCUAAGAUCAAUUGCUGGUAGUAGUAUUUCUCUUGAGACCAACAUAAGGUUUAGGUGUGCCAUGAAUUCCAGCAGGAUCACAUUAUGCUCAAAGAAAGAUGCCAAUGGUGAUUUGAAAUUAGCAACUCCUUAAGUAGAGAGAGUCCCGUUAAAAGGACCGAACUGGGUAGUGUGUCAAUUACAUAAAGGGAGGAAUGAUGCCAAAUUAAAAGAAGUGAUGUGUGUUAUGUUAGUAAAUAUAGAAAGAACUCCCUGCUUCUAAAUUCUGUGCAGAGUUAGGAAAAAUGGGGAGGACCCCAAAACAGGUAUGUGAAAUGCUUUCUUCAUUUUCUCUUAAGCUCAGGAAACACCACUAGAGUUUAAGUUUGUGUGAAUUAGGAAGAGUCUAAGUGAGAUGGCAAUGGCUCAUGUGUCUCCCCACACGCAGAACUCCAACUUAUGAAAAUGGCAUCAACAUGAGGAAACAGUUGUAUGUGGCAAAGGCAGUAAAACCAUCAGAUAGCACCCACCUGGCCACCUCCAACUGGUCCCCAAAACCACCAGUAUUCCCAUUACAUGUAUGUUACAGCCUUUGUAGUUGUCCCACAGCUACAAAAUUUAAAAAUUGCUAUUGUCAAAACAAAAUAUUAAAUAUGAAGUUGAAAUGUUGUUCCACUUUUUUACCCCACUCUUUUUGAACUUUCCUGUUUCAGUUUUGGAAGUUUCUAUUGACGUAUCCUCAAGCUAGGGAUUCUUUCCUCAGCUGUGUGCAGUCUACCAGUAAGCAUCAAAAGCAUUCUUCAUUUCUCUAACAGCAUUUUUUUUUUCUGAGACAGAGUCUCACUCUGUCACCCUGGCUGGAGUGCAGUGGCAUGAUCUCAUCUCACUGCAAGCUCUGCCUCCUAGGUUCACGCCAUUCUCCUGCCUCAGCCUCCCAAGUAGCUGGGACUACAGGGGCCCGCCACCAUGGCUGGCUAAUUUUUUGUAUUUUUAGUAGAGACGAGGUUUCACCAUGUUAGCCAGGAUGGUCUCUAUCUCCUGACCUUGUGCCCGCCUCGGCCUCCGAAAGUGCUGGUAUUGUAGGUGUGAGCCACUGUGCCCAGCCAUCUCUGAGGGAGUUUAACGAGUUGUUGACUUUUGAGUUUGUUCAGCUUUUUACUUAGUGUUAGAACCGAAUGACAAAUUUCAAGCUUGUUAUAUGCCUGACAGGAAGCCAGAAGUCUCUAGGAAGUGACCAGAGAAUGUGAGCUCCAUAGCAGGUUGAGGAUGGAGUCAUGGGCGAAAUGAGCCCAUGGGCUUUGGGGACUGCAGGCCUGUCCAGCCUCUGACACCCUGGUGAGUCCGUGCAAAGAUUACAACAGUGACAGGAAACUAGCAUGCCUGACUCCAUCUGGCAUCUAGUCUCAGGCUGGCUGUCCUCACUCAUUGCUGGGCAUAGGCCAGGCUAACCUUGGGAGGAAUUUAGUUUAUGGUUUAAAUUUGAAGCAAGAAUGAUAAUAGUUCCUCCAUAAAACUAACACCCUUACUUUGCCCAGGGACUGCCUUUGUAAAACUAGUGAAAGACCAUGAGAUUAAGGUUAUAGGAGGGAACUGAAUUCUGCUAAAAUGUUGGCACAGUUUCUAUAAUCCCUGACUGCUCCGAUGUCAUUUGGCAAGAGUUUACAAAAGUUGUAACUAAUUGCUCCUAUAGAUAACAUCACUAUUGUAGAACGUGAGAUUGGUCUUUUGAGAUGUUUCUCAUUCUUUUGCAUUCUGGCAACCGGCUGACCUCAUCCAUACCUAUGACUAAUGGCUCAGCCAGUCAUGUGGUCCCUACCUAGAGUCAGAUUUAAGGGCAAACAGAUCAUUUCCCUCCGCCCACAUGAUUCCAUCACCAAACAAUCAGCAGUACUUAUUUUUUAGUCCUGUGCUCCUGAAACUACCCUUGAAUAUCUCUAACCCCUGAUCCACUGGGGAGGCUGAUUUGAGAGGCCAGAAGAACUUGCCUGGCAAUUAUGAGUGGAUGGAGGAACUGCCUAUCCCUGUCCCAUUGUCUUGUCCACAGGUCAGCCUCACAAAGGGAAAGAGCCCUGGAUGGGAAUACAGUGGAAGCUCAUUCUCUUAGUGACCUGGGGACAUUGGCUCGAGAUGAAGCCUGGCAGGAGUGGCAACUCCAGGUGAAAAGCUUGGUGAAAGAUUUUAAGGACUUCCCAUUGGCUGAAGGCUGGCAAAUGGAGUUUGCUAUCCUCUGACUGCAGCCAUUCUGAGGACUGGAAAGAAUACCCUGAGAAGGGGCCUAUUUUAUUUCUGCAGGAAGGGACAUGGAUGAAGCUGGAAACCAUCAUUCUCAGCAAACCAUCGCAAGGACAAAAAAUCAAACACCGCAUGUUCUCACUCAUAGGUGGGAAUUGAACAGUGAGACCACAUGGACACAGGAAGGGGAACAUCACACACCAGGGCCUGUUGUGGGGUGGGAAGAGAGGGGAGGGAUAGCAUUAGGAGAUAUACCUAAUGUUAAAUGACGAGUUAAUGGGUGCAGCACACCAACAUGGCACAUGUAUACAUAUGUAACUAACCUGCCCGUUGUGCACAUGUACCCUAAAACUUAAAGUAUACUAAAAAAUAAAUAAAUAAAACCCCGUGGUAAAUUUCUAUUAUUUUUGUGUUACCUUGGCAUCUCUUUUUAAUCUUCCUUGAACACACCAAAUUUUUUCUUGAAAAAGCUUAAGUUCUCUCUCUCUCUCUCUUUGCUUUGAGAUGUAAAUGUGCUAUUUAUUUUCUCUAAAACUCGGUAAAGCCUUCCUCAGAUAAACGUUAACCUUUACCAUUUACAAGAAAGCAAUUUGAAUCCAACUAUCCUUUAAACUGGUGGGUUUUACUGAUCUCAUGCCUAAAGUCCUAAAAUCAAAAUUCUAAAAUCCUUUUGUCUCUCUCUAUCUUUAUGUGAACAUGUAUAUGUUAUAUGUUUUAUCACAUAUAUGUAUAUGUCACACAUUUAUAUACUGUUGACACAUAGUUUCAAAUUAAUGUAAAAAU